UACGUAGGUGGCAAGCGUUGUCCGGAUUUACUGGGCUUAAAGAGCGCGCAGGCGGUCGUUCAAGUCGCGUGUGAAAGCCCCCGGCUCAACUGGGGAGGGUCACGCGAUACUGAUCGACUGGAAGGCAGGAGAGGGUAGUGGAAUUCCCGGUGUAGUGGUGAAAUGCGUAGAUAUCGGGAGGAACACCAGUGGCGAAGGCGACUACCUGGCCUGUUCUUGACGCUGAGGCGCGAAAGCUAGGGGAGCAAACGGG
rnacentral:rRNA from 1 species